UGCCAGCCGCCGCGGUAACACGGGGGGCGCAAGCGUUGUUCAGAAUUACUGGGCGUAAAGGGCGCGUAGGCGGUUUUCCAAGCCAAGGGUGAAAUCCCGGAGCUCAACUCCGGAACUGCUCUUGGAACUGGGAGACUAGAGACAAGCAGAGGCAGGUGGAAUUCCAGGUGUAGAGGUGAAAUUCGUAGAUAUCUGGAGGAACACCGGUGGCGAAGGCGGCCUGCUGGGCUUGUUCUGACGCCAAGGCGCGAAAGCGUGGGGAGCAAACGGGAUUAGAUA
rnacentral:rRNA from 1 species